rnacentral:tRNA from 1 species
AAUGAGUGCAGUUUUUCAUCCGCUCCACCAGGCGGCAGAAUCGGGCUUUAGGUUCAGUUUGACACAUUCAGAUCCUUGACAACAGUCACAACAACACGUGCAGACUGAGUUAAGUAUAAAUUCUGCAGAUGACAGCUCAGUUACAGACUCAUAAUGUCACUUAACAGCACACACUUCAGUCCAUAAACAAACAAAACAGACAAACGCUGUGAUAAAGUGCAGGAGUGGAAGAUGUCACGCGACUCACCUAAUAAGGGAUGUUUGGACCGUUACACUCAGCCAACAGAAGCAUGUGGACAGACAAUGAACAUCUGCUGAUGCACAGGUAAAACUUAAAACAGUUCAGUGUGUGUUGUUUGCUUGUAAAUGUGUAGGUUACCAUCAUUUUCUUUUUGAAGGAGCACCCCUUUGAAAAGCAAAUGAUGGUAGCCUAAGUAGGCGGGGAAGGGACGGGGGUUGGAAAAAAUGAUAGUAAAUUAAAUUUUUUCAGGCCAGAAGUAUAACCCCUGCUGGACAUUGUUGUGGAACUCAGGGGAGGACACCAUGAUCCCCCACACCUUCUCACUCACACCAGACCAUUCACUCAUAUCGCGGAGAUCUGGCUGGACUUGAACCAGCAACCUCGGAAACCGUGAGGCAGCACUCUUACCACUGAGCCACAGAUCUCUUGUCUGGCCAUGUGCAGGAACUUGUAUUUCACUAUUCUCUCGGUCAUUUUACAAUAAGCCAGUUAAAUUUCAAACCCAUUGAGUUGGGGUUUGAACCCACAGCACCACCGCAGUUCUGAUCGUAUGUAAUGUGUGUUUAGCCAUUAGUGCCACACUUGCUUUCACAUUGCAAGCUUGCGUUUGCACCACUUUGUUGGAUAUAAUGCAAUACAUGAGCUUUAAUGUAAGCAAUAGUGGGGCUUGAACUCAGGACGCCACGAUCUCAACACAACACUCUGCAUCCUGAGCCACUGGAACAAGUGAGUUACAGGUUGU